rnacentral:rRNA from 1 species
AGAGUUUGAUCCUGGCUCAGGACUAACGCUGGCGGCGUGCCUAACACAUGCAAGUCGAGCGGACACCAAUUUGUAGCAAUACAGAUGAAGUGUUAGCGGCAGACGGGUGAGUAACACGUAGUCAACCUAUCUUUUCGUCCGGGAUAACUAGCCGAAAGGUUAGCUAAUACCUGAUACGAUCGCUCAUCGGCAUCGGAGAG